GGGAUUGAUGUGAAGUUUGUUUGG
rnacentral:siRNA from 1 species